rnacentral:ncRNA from 1 species
GAACCGCAGGUUCAGACAUUUGGUUCAUGUGCUUGGCUGAUAAGCCAAUGGUGCGAAGCUACCAUCUGGGGGAUUAUGACUGAACGCCUCUAAGUCAGAAUCCCGCCCAAAUCUGUGACGAUAUUUUCCGCGCCUCCUCGUUGGCAGGCAACGAUAUGCGCGUGUCGACCGUUCUUCGGCGCACGCGGUGGCUCGGCCACAGCAGACGGCUAUCUUCGGGCGUAGAGCGUUGCGUCCGAGUGCCGAAGCGAUACCCACCCGUGCAAUGUAGAGGUGCAAAAUCAUUUGUAGACGACUUAGGUCUGAGUCGGGGUGUCGUACUUAGUAGAGCAGCCGCCUCACUGCGAUCUAUUGAGACUAAGCCUUUCGACUCGGGGAUUUGU